UACGGAGGGUGCAAGCGUUAUCCGGAUUCACUGGGUUUAAAGGGUGCGUAGGAGGGUAGGUAAGUCAGUGGUGAAAUCUUCGAGCUUAACUCGGAAACUGCCGUUGAUACUAUCUAUCUUGAAUACCGUGGAGGUGAGCGGAAUAUGUCAUGUAGCGGUGAAAUGCUUAGAUAUGACAUAGAACACCAAUUGCGAAGGCAGCUCGCUACACGAAUAUUGACUCUGAGGCACGAAAAGCGUGGGGAUCAAACAGGA
rnacentral:rRNA from 1 species